GUUGACUAGGAGCAAAGCCAUAUCGUCAACGAAUUUCUCAGAGUGAGCAAAGACGUUUUUGUGUUUACAUCAGCUUCACGGGAAUGUAGUGGAAGGACGACAAUAUGCUGUUCAAAGUGCAAUACCACGGAAAGAAGAAGUACAUUAAACUUAAUGGAGCCUCACAUUCAGAAUUUCUCAAAGAGGCUAAAGUCAAGUUAAGCAUACCCACUGAGACAGACAUAUAUGUGCUGGAUAACACUGGAACAGAGGUCGAUGAUGAGGUCUUCAGCGACAUCCUGGAGGAAAAAACGGAUUGUUGAUG